AAGAUACUAGUAUAAUAAAUAAUACCCUGCCUUGUCAAGACAAAACUGUAGGUUGAAAUCCUACGUAUCUUA
rnacentral:tRNA from 1 species